ensembl:lncRNA
CCAGGUCCUCCCAUCGUGAAUCCAGGAUCCCACCUCCACGCCUCUGUGUGCGUGCAGUUUCCUCAGCCAGGCACACCCUUUAGACUCAUUUUUCCUUCUGAGCUUGGCUCUGGGGUCCCCCGGGAGAAGUUUCCCCUGACCCUCCCAGGCUGUCAGUGUCUCCUCCUCUGGGUCCUGGACCACGUGGCACAGCCUUUCUUAGGGACCCAGUGGCCUGAGCCCUUCCUGGAUGUCCAUGGUGUCAGUAGCAUCUUGCCCUGGACCGCGGGCUCCUUGCGGGCCUCCCCCUGCCCAGCGCGGGCCUGGCACACAGCAGACAUGCGUCGAGAUGGGCCUCUCAUCUUUUGCUCCGACGAUAUGGUUUCUGGGGUGCCAGAUGUGGUGUGACCUUGGGUGUGGUCCGGACAGGCUCCCUGGCUUUCUUAGGAGGAUGGGAACGUGAGCCAGGUGUCCUCCUGGCAGGGUCUCUGAGCCUCGGUCUGGGUGAUGAGGGUGGGCGGGUGUGGACGGCUCUGUCCUGGAAACCCUGCAGGAUGAGCAGGGGAUGGAUCCAAUGGCUGGAAGCACCCUUGCAGAGUUCUCCUCCCGUGCUAGCCUUUCUCAGCGCCUCUCCCAGCCCCCCUUCCCCACCUCCUUAGGUGGGAACAGAGGAGCUGCCUUCUCUUUGGUGCACACCCCCGCCCUGCCCUGCCUGCCCCUUCCCUGGAGGCUCUGAGGUCCCCCGGGCAGAUCCUGCUGUGCCACAGAAUCCUUUGUGCCCACAGCUUAACCCACCCCUGCUCCCUGCCCCCCCACCCGUGGCCCAUGCCCCCAAGGAGUCCCUGUGUGUGUGCGGACUAGCACCGAGCACGCAAUGACAACGGAUGAGUGAAUGGAUGAGAAAGCGGGGAUAAGACUCCUUUUCCUUGGGUCCUGUGACUUCCCCGGAUGCUCUUUUGUUCGAAGCUAGAUCCGUGGGUGUUUUUGUGCACCUGGCUGUCUAGGAGGACAUAGGGGCCUCCGUUUGAGGCUGCAGUGAGGGCUGGAGGCCCAGUUCCUCAGACCAAGUUAACUCUGGGCAGCUGGAACACAACGCUGACCUCCGCUGCUCUCGGGGCAGGUGGACUGCUGCUGAGUGAGGUUUCUCACUUGUUAGGCCUCUUUCUGUUCAGCCAAGCUACGGGUGGCGUUUCCUGCCCAGAGCCUGCAGCUUGCUGGCGCUGGCCAGCUCGCUGGUGUGCGUGGUGCAGGAGCACUUUGCUGGGGCUGGUGACAGCAGUUUGCAGUCCUGGUGAACGGGCGGCCAGGUGUGUGUUGGCCACAGCACAGGCCCUGGGCUCAGACCUAGGCGUGAAUCUGGGCUCUGUCACCCGGGAGCUAUGUGACCUUGGGCCCCUUGCUUAACUUAAUGAGACCGAGUUCCCCAUUUAGUUAAAAUCUGGAUUAGAACUCACUUUCCAGAGUCAUGAGCCCAAGUCCACCACUGGCACGUGCAGCUUGGAUGGGAGUCCGGCCCACCAAAGUCCAGGGUGGAUGAUGCCAAGGUGUGUGUCGCCAGCGUCAAGUAGCUUUCCCAGAGGCUGUGGGAAUUCGGGGCGGNNNNNNNNNNNNNNNNNGGGGGGGGGGGGGCGCCCUUGGGCUGGGUCUCAGAUGUCUUGCAGGGAGAGAAGGAAGGCAAGCCUUCCAGGCAGCAGAAACAGCAGGUUCACCCAGACCUGGGCAGACACUGGGGAUGACGUGUCCUGCUGGUGAUGACCCAGCGACGCCGGCCAGGGGGGCGCAAACAGAACACAGCACGGACACAGGCACUGGCGAUUCUCAGGCACGGUGCGUUAGUCAUCCUGCCGGCGGCCAGGGUCACGGCCGUGGACAGGAUCAGCUAGGGUCCCGGUCUUGAGGGAGCCUGGAAUCCGGCCCAGGUAAUCCUUAUUACAUACAUAACCCAAGGCCAGUCACGUGGCCUCGUGCAACUUACGUCCACUCUCUGAGCCUCCUUUAUGGCUCCCGUAAGCCGUUAUCAUGAUACUCAUGUUGCAGGUUCUCACCCCACCUCCAGCCCUCGAACGCGUCUCUCUCCCGGGACCCUGAACGCCGCCCUGGCAGCGCCCGUGCUUUUCAUGAAAUCACCGAGGUUAUUAGGUGCCCCCCCCCCCCCAAUCUGAGCGCUACUGUCUCUCGGUAGCAGCAGAUUCCUAGCGGAUGAAGCGUCUCCAGUGCCCGCCCGUUCAAUGAAUGAAUGAGAGGCAGGUGUAGUCACUGCUCCCAGCAGGACACACCCUGCCACCUCGUCCACUCAGCCCUGUCGGUCCUGGUCCCCCACGUCCUGGGCUCAUGUGAGCUGGGAUCCAGGAACUGUAGCGAGGCCGACACCCCCUCGGUGUGGUGGUGAUGGCUGUCUGGGUCAGAGAGGAUUCCGAGGCCCGGAGGGCAAGUGCGGGGAGGGAUUGGGCAUGCCUGGCACGGGCCCUGGUGGUGGGGCGUGGGCUCUGUUAGACAGAGGCUGGGUUAGGCCUUCAUCACCAGGCACACUGGGUAUUAGGAGCCGUUCUCUUACUACUUUCACCGCCCCCAGCAGCAGCAACACCCAGCCAAGCGCUUUUAUUACCUUUCCAUGAGAUAAUCGGCCUGAUUUCACCAAGUUGUGGCAGUUCUAGUCAAGAACAACGCAUCUCCACGUUUCGCUAGCUCGUGGUUGGAACGAAAGGUGAGGUACAGAGACACACAAUGGGCCCGUCACCUCCCCCGGGUCCCUGGGCUUGGGAGCGGGAGGCGCCCAGGUCGGCGCCCUUUCCACUUUCCAUUGGGGGUGUUUAUCUGGAGCACAUCUGGCUGUGUGGCCUUGAGCCAAACCCCUCUUCUCUUCCAGGCCUCACUCUCCUCCUCGGUAGAAUGGUGCCCAUGACAGUUCUUGACCUUGGGAGCUGUGGUGAGGACAGUUCUUCUUGGCUGUGGGCGGCUGAUGUCGGGGGUUUAAUAAUGGUUUAUUGUGACUGCUGUCAUCAUUCCCUUAGCUCCGCCGUCUGUCUUGGGGAGGCUGAGGUUUGUUUGAGAGGAAGCAUUCAGAACAAGCAGGGACACGUAUAGGUUUUGUCAAUCAAUGACCAGGCUCAGAAAUAAUCUGAACACAAAACUUAACCAAGACCAGUGGACAUUUUCUUUCUGGGGUCACGAAAGGGGAAAAGGGGAGGCAGUCUUUAGUCCAAUAAGUGGUCUCCUGAUCGGGAGAUAAUGGUGAUUUUUUUUUUUUUUUUUUUUUGCUUUUUAGGGCUGCACCCGCGGCACAUGGGGGUUCCCAGGCCAGGGAUCGAAUUGGAGCUGCAGCUGCUGGCCUACACCACCACCACAAACGCCAGAUCUGAGCCGCAUCUGUGACCUACACCGCAGCUCACGGCAACGCCAGAUCUUUAACACACUGAACGAGGCCAGGGGUUGAACCUGCGUCCUCAUGGAUGCUAGUCAGCUUCCUUGACCGCUGAGCCACGACAGGACCUCCUAGAGACAAUAGUGAUCAUAAAUGCCAUCACUUUGGGACGGAGGAGAUGGCGUUGUUGGCAGGCAUGGAUUCUGGAGAAAGACUGGGUGGUUGACCAGUGAAUCCGGCCCUCUUCUUGGACACUGGGCACCCCGAAAUCCAGAAAGGGGAAGGGGCCUGCCCAGGGGCCCCUGGGUCCAGCAGCCAGCCUGCCCCUGGACGGGUCUGCCUGGCAUCCCAUGAUCCCCCACCAGGUCCUGAGUGGCUCACCUGCUCCGUGAAACACGUCCCUGCCAAGACCAGGGACCCUGGUGGACCCGACUGUGGUCCAUCAGUGGGAAAUCUACGCCCGUCACUGGGAGGACACACAUGGUGUGGCAGGAGGACCUCGGCCUUUCCAUUGUGAAACAGGACCUGCCACAUGUAAAGGGAACGCCCCAUCUCUCAGGGGUGCUGGGGGCGGCUGGGAUGGAGCGGGAAGCCUGAGCUGCUUCUCUGAGCUCCCGCUCAUCACGCGCUGGCAGGCGUGUGGUCCUUGACCUGCCUCCCUCAGAGGUCACGUGAGGGAUGCUGAAAUGCCAAACCAACAGUCAAGAGCCCUGCAAACUGCAGAGUGCUCUGUGUAGAAGCCAAGACCCAGUUCUGACUUUCGUGUCCAAGUGUCAGGCUUCUCAUUUCUGCCUCCAGCUUUUGGGGGAGAAAGACCUGGGCUGGCGAUCCCCCGCUUGAACUGGGAGGUGGCGUCUGCUUGCCGCUCCCUCUUGAGCAGCCAUGAACGACCACAUUCCCCCCAGGCAGGAAUCCCCUUCUAUUUGCUAUCGCUUAGCCUUAGGAGGGGCCUCUUAAACUCUGGCGCUCAAUUACGGCCUUUUUAUUGAAUAAUAACUCAGGUGUGCUUUUCAUUGAGCAUCCCUGAUACCUUUAUUGGUGUUAUUUCAGGAACCCGAAUAAUAAGGAUGAACAAUUAUUUAAAUGCUCAUUAAAGAAAAAAAACACACAAAACACCAAACAGCUCCUAGCAGAGGGAGAGUAGCCUUGCGUUGCAGGAGCCCAACUGCAGGUUGGUUCCCAAGAGUCACAAUAAAAAAUGAUGUUUCCUCAGCGUUUGCAUGUUUUGACUUCCCUGGCACCUCGACUGCAUCAGGCAGGCUGCUUUAAAAUUCCGCCGCGGUUUUAUUACUGCCAGCCUUACGCAGGAAGGCUUCCCUGAACCAGCCACUGCCAGGUACAAGACGGAUCAUAAAAAAAUGAAACAUGCAGAGCCCAGCCGUAACACCUGCACGGUGAUGCGCAGAUUUUGUCGGGUGUGUCCACGUGCGGGAUCUCGUUUGCUCCCUCGUCCCUCCUCGGAAGCAGGCGUGUUGUUCCCCCUCCACUGAUGAGGAAACCGAGGCUCAGAGAGGUUAGGUACCUCGAUUGAUAUCACUCUGCCGCAAAUAAGGCAGAGGUAGGCACCCGGGCUGCUGUCCAGGGUUCUCGUAACUGAGAGGUUGCAGGGAGGAUUUGGAAUUUGAGAAAAACAUACAGGUCUCCCUUUGGAGCGUGCAGAGCCAAGAAGGUCCAGUGGAUUCUAAUAUGUCUGAGGAAGGAAGCGCGCAAGCAGACCAGGAAAACGUGGGCCCUGGAUUCUGUGUCUCCAAGCCCGAUGGAAGGAUCCGAGUGCAGCUGACGUUUCUGGGUCUGUAGGCUGCAUUGCUGGCUAGGUUGCUUCUGAAUCUCUUCGGCAUGGACCUAUCCAUUGGAACCCCAGCAGCCACAGUGGCAGCGUCUUGGGACAUGGAUCCUCUCUGGGCCGCCGGCGAAGGUGGAUCUUCCAGCCCCCUCCCCCGGCAGGUGGCCUGGAGCUCCAGGACGGGGUGACAGCCCUGAGUCUGAAGCAGCCGGCUCCCAGGGGUCUUCUGCGUUUAAACACGAGCCGUCUGCGACCAUGUGUGUGGGGGCUUUAAAAUACUCAGCAAGGUGGCGAAGAGAAAAAUAAAAAAAAAUGUUCCAAGUGGCUCUUCUCUGACAUGGUUCAGUUCUCAAAAAGCGAGCAGCCCCCGUGUUGAAGGCUACUUCCAGGCGAAAGAUAACCAGGAGUGGUGACAUGGAAAAGAACGUUUUAUUUUCAAAGGAAAUUCCAGGAGAGUAGAAAGAGCGUUGUUUAGGGAGAGCCUUUGAGGGCUGGGAGAUUUAAAAAGUAUUGGAAGCUGUCAGGUCCUGGGAAGUGCGUCACCUGCAAUGAACCUUGCCACCUGCAGUGGAGGGACGUGGGGGAACCAAGUUGGUUCAGGGGUGCGGGAAGAGGGGCCCUGGGAUCCCAUUCGAUGGAUACAACACAGAACGCUUCCCCACCUGAUGAACAGGUAACCUCCUCCCCAGGCGGCUUCAGUUAGAAUCUUAAAAGUAUCUUUUGCUCUUUUUUUUUUUUUUUUUUUUUUUUAAUUUUAAACAAGAAAUGGAAACAUCUGAGUUCUUUAGAACAUGCAACUACAUGCUUCUCGGCAGCUGCCAUUUGAGUUUUAAAAAUACAUAUAUAUUUUAAUGGGCCAUUCUGGCUGCAUUGCAGUCUUCAUUCUUGGCCUGCCCGGGAGUUCUGCGCUGGCUUCUGAUACCUGCAUUCCUCAGGAGCCAUAAAACUUUCUAGAAACUGUGUGGACAUCAGAAUAAGAAACAGGAAGUGCUCUGGAGAUACCUCAGGACAUGAAGAUGAGGACAAAGGAGACUGGGCCAAGGGAGGGGGCCCGACUUAAAAACACGAGGAGCCAAGCCAAGCAGCCGUGGGCCGUCACUCGAUUAAUGAGAGUGGCUGCAGCCAGGGUACAGAGCUUCACGUGAAGGCCUAUGACCUCGUGGAAGUGGCGCUUCAUUUGUGUUUUUAGCGGCUGGUCAGAAAGGGAGUUUUUAUUUAUCUUCUUAUGUAUUACUUAUUUAUUGUGCCUUGCUCCAGAAAAAAGUUUGAGGGGGACUCUGCAUACGAUGGCUGCUGGCCAGUCCUCCUGUGAGCCUGUCUGCGGGGAGAGUUCUGCUCCCCACAUCCAUUAACCAAUAAGCCAGGGAAGGAGCCGGUGCCGCCAAGAAGCAGGUGCUUUUCUGUGCCAGCGGUGUAGCACACAGCAAGGGGGGCUGGGGAGUGCAGCGGCCUGCCUGCUCCAGCCUAGGGCCUCCUGCCUGUUUGCGGGGGGGUGCAGCCCCCCUCGGAGGCGCCCACAUGGGGAACUGAAUCAUGCAGAUGUAACUGGGGGAAGGCAGGUACCCAGGCAUCCUAGAGAAAGAGAAUCGUCUCAGAAUUUCUCUGGGAGCUGUGUGUGAGGUGAAGCUGAACUUAGAAGAAGAAGAACUUAGAAGAAGCUCUGAACUUUAGAGCUCUUUUUUCCUUUCUCCCCCCACCCCCCCACCGCCUAUACCGGCUCCCCCCACUGGUCUCCUCAACCACCAAACAUGCAGACCAAACAAGACACGAGUGUGCAGUGAGGCCCGCGUGCAGACACCGGGCUUGGGAGGCAUGUCUUGGUUUCUGGCAGUAGGUGAUCUGGCCCAGUUGGCUCUGUGUCUGGGAGACUCUCCACCCUGCCCCCCUGCCUGGCUUGCGGGGGUGCAGGCCCUUGGUACCUGUUGGGUCUAAACUGUACAGAACUCGGGGCAUCUGGUCCCGGAGCCGCUUGGUUUUUACUGCUAAGGGUGAAGCCCUGGAGAAGCAUAGUUUGUGGGUGAAUCUCCCGGGGAGAUGGGGGUUGGCUUUACCCCCCCCCCCCACACACGGACCCAGCCUAUGGUAAGGAACAUGCCUGCAGCUACUGUACUUUAUCAGCGUUCAAAUCUCCCAGGUACAAGAAAGUCUGAAAAAACAAAAGGGGUUUUCAAGAUUGUGGCUGUGAUGUCCUGUUCCCUUUUCCUUCCCUGGUCAGUGGGCAGAUCUGAUGGUGGGAGGCAGGGCCUGCCCACACCCGCCCCAUCCACGGGAGGCAUCAGGAGAGAGUCUGGCUGGAGACGCAGCCAGUUUCACCUGUAGGUCAAGGACAGCGGCCACAGGACCGGCUCUGGAUGGAACAUGCAGGCUCCAUGCAGUGACUGCUCCAGUGAGGGACACAGACAGGGACGUGUUGGUUCUGUGCCACCAGUGUCCACUCGGAUUUGCUCCUGAUGCCACCAGUGCCAGUUUGUCACAAAUCCCUGCUUGCUGCCAUUCAUCCUGACUGUCUUGUCAGAUGUGACAUUCCUUCACUCAGCAUUUCUGGCACAGGACUUCAUGACCUCCCCCGCCCCCUCCUGGGGUCUGUAGAGGCCAGGUUCGACACUACUGCUGGGGGGGAACUUGUGUGAGGCCAUUCGAGCAAUGCGGGUGGGAGCCAUCACCCAGUCGUGAUCUUUACAACAUGCUGAAUUUCCUCUGUCGCUACACAUCCGUGUUGAAAUUAGACAGUGCUUCGGCGGUCCCGUGGUGGCUCAGUGGAAACGAACCUGGCUAGUAUCCAUGAGGAUGCGGGUUGGAUCCCUGGCCUUGCUCAGUGGGUCGGGGAUCCAGCGUUGCCGUGAGCUGUGGUGUGGGUCACAGACGUGGCUUGGAUCCCACGUUGCUGCGGCUCUGACGUAGGCCAGCAGGUAGAACUCCGAUUAGACCCCUAGCCUGGGAACCUCCAUAUGCCAUGGGUGCGGCCCUAGAAAAGCCAAAAAAAAAAAAAAAAAAAAAAAAA